GCCCCAGACUCCUACGGGAGGCAGCAGUGAGGAAUAUUGGUCAAUGGGCUUACGCCUGAACCAGCCAAGUCGCGUGAGGGAAGACUGCCCUAUGGGUUGUAAACCUCUUUUGUCAGGGAGCAACGCCGGCUACGUGUAGCCGGACUGAGAGUACCUGAAGAAAAAGCAUCGGCUAACUCCGUGCCAACAGCCGCGGUAAUACGGAGGAUGCGAGCGUUAUCCGGAUUUACUGGGUGUAAAGGGAGCGCAGGCGGCACGGCAAGCCUGAUGUGAAAGCCCGCGGCCCAACCGCGGGACUGCAUUGGGAACUACCGGGCUGGAGUGCCGGAGAGGUAGGCGGAAUUCCUAGUGUAGCGGUGAAAUGCGUAGAUAUUAGGAGGAGCACCAGUGGCGAAGGCGGCCUACUGGACGGUGACUGACGCUGAGGCUCGAAAGCGUGGGGAGCAAACAGGAUUAGAUACCCCUGUA
rnacentral:rRNA from 1 species